rnacentral:rRNA from 1 species
GAUGAACGCUGGCGGCGUGCCUAAUACAUGCAAGUCGAGCGAACAGAUGAGGAGCUUGCUCCUCUGACGUUAGCGGCGGACGGGUGAGUAACACGUGGAUAACCUACCUAUAAGACUGGGAUAACUUCGGGAAACCGGAGCUAAUACCGGAUAAUAUAUUGAACCGCAUGGUUCAAUAGUGAAAGACGGUUUUGCUGUCACUUAUAGAUGGAUCCGCGCCGCAUUAGCUAGUUGGUAAGGUAACGGCUUGCCAAGGCAACGAUGCGUAGCCGACCUGAGAGGGUGAUCGGCCACACUGGAACUGAGACACGGUCCAGACUCCUACGGGAGGCAGCAGUAGGGAAUCUUCCGCAAUGGGCGAAAGCCUGACGGAGCAACGCCGCGUGAGUGAUGAAGGUCUUCGGAUCGUAAAACUCUGUUAUUAGGGAAGAACAAAUGUGUAAGUAACUAUGCACGUCUUGACGGUACCUAAUAAGAAAGCCACGGCUAACUACGUG